rnacentral:rRNA from 1 species
AGCAGCCGCGGUAAUUCCAGCUCCAAUAGCGUAUAUUAAAGUUGUUGCAGUUAAAAGCUCGUAGUUGAAUUUCGGGGUUAGUAGGUUGGUCAUGCCUCUGGUAUGUACUGGUCUCACUGAUUCCUCCUUCCUGAUGAGCCGUAAUGCCAUUAAUUUGGUGUUGCGGGGAAUUUGGACUGUUACUUUGAAAAAUUAGAGUGUUUAAAGCAAGCUAACGCUUGAAUACAUUAGCAUGGAAUAAUGAAAUAGGACGUUCGAUCCUAUUUUGUUGGUUUCUAGGAUUGACGUAAUGAUUAAUAGGGAUAGUUGGGGCAUUAGUAUUCAAUUGUCAGAGGUGAAAUUCUUGGGAUUUUUAUUGAAGACUAACUACUGCGAAAAGCAUUUUGCCAAGGAUGUUUUCAUUAAUCAAGACGAAGUUUAGGGGAUCGAAAGACGAUCAGAUACCCGUCGUAGUCUUAAACCCAUAAAACCUAUGCCCGACCCA